GGCUCUGUGGCGCAAUGGAUAGCGCAUUGGACAAAUUGGACUUCUAGGCUGUGAGCUGAGCCAUUCAAAGGUUGUGGGUUCGAGUCCCACCAGAGUUG
rfam:Danio rerio chromosome 4, GRCz11 reference primary assembly.